AUCUGAAUUUGGGGAGAACAUAAGUCCAUGACACAUGUGUACAAAACUUUCAUUGUGAUAUUAGUGUCAUAAUAAUAAUAUAUAACAACAUACAACAGAGCAACCAACAAGCUUAACACCUGAGAAAAGAUAGGUGCCUCCCAGAAGUAACAAACAUGAGUACUUGAUUACCUAGGGCACACAUAGCACAGACCAAGAUAUAAUCGCCUUGAAAGUGGAUGAAAAGAAUGCAGCUGAAACAUUUAUCAAAUUAUUGGAGGCCAAAUGUGAACACUAGUGAAGAUCAACUGUGGUUGGAGAAAUGAAGAACAGCAAAACUCUAACCCCGGGACAAGUACAAGAUUACUGAGAAAGCUUCACCCCACAAACUCAGGGGCACUAAGACUGAGGCUGAGCCGUAACGACAGAAUUUUCCCACUGUUAAAGCAAAUAAAUAUGGCCUGAGAAGGAUUUCUAUAUUUGAGUCCUUGUGGACUAACUGCAACCUAGCUUAACAGAGUAAGACCAUUUAAAGGGACCAAAAAUGGAUGAACAUACUUGGCACUAUGAACUAAAAGAUCUUUGGCUAAAGAAGAGAUGAAGACUCAUUCAACUCCUACAAGUGAAUUAAGGAGCUCUGAGAAGGCAAAGCCAGCCCAGGAGGGUGGACACACUAAGAACAAUGUGCCUUGUCCUGAUACACAGUUGUGGUAUAGGUAACAAAAUCUGAGUAUCCAACCUAAGAUGUUACCCCUCACCUCACCAGAAUACCUCCAAUCCCUUCCCUGGAAACACAGAAUAAAUUCCUAUAGAAAGUUAUAAAGCAGAAAAACAAGGUAUCUUUUGUGGAGUAAAGAAUGAUUAUGGAGGAAAAACACCAUUAACUGUCACAGAAAUAAUUGUGUCAUUCAGCAGAAUGGUAGCUCUAAGGAAGACAGCAGCAAUACUCAAGGUACAGCCAUUCUUCUGGAACAAGUCCCACCAAUCUGAAGCUGGAGUCAAUGGUGGUGACAGUGGUGACAUUGCAGAAAAGUAAGAAAGUUGAGGGAGGGAUUCAGGAGAAACAUGGCUGUUGGAAUUAGACACUCAAGAUCUAAACUAAAUGGGAUUAGUAAUGAUAAAAGGAUAAAUGGUUGAUUUCUCCCAUCACCACUUUGCCUGGAAAUAUUGAAAAGCAGGAACCCAGUGGUAUGGUUGACUUCUCUAGAGCUACUGACAAUAAAAUGGGCUGCAACAACCACCACACACACACACACAAAAAAAUCCCAGUGGGAUUCUUGUUAAUAGGGACAUUUAGGAAAGGGUGGGAUGCUCACUCACCCAGGUUAUUGCAGAAAACAUCCUGCUUUGACUGAGAAAUUGUGGAGGAUGCCUAAGGUCACUUCUGACAUCUAUGGAACUGUAAAGUCUGUUUCCCGUGGGGUAUAGUUUUGUCAUAUUGUGACUAUGUAUUUGUGUAUGUAUUGUGUAUGUAUAUUUGUCUUCCUAUUAGCCAAUGCUCUGUCAACCCACGGUUGUUUUGAGAAUCAAAGAGAUAACAUGCAGGAGGAUGAAAUGGGAACAGAUUAACACAAGAUGCUCACACUGCCUAGUAAUCAUAGCUUUCUCCCUAUUUCUGUCCCUGUCAUCGGGCACAGCUAUUCUAUUAAAUAGCUG
rnacentral:lncRNA from 10 species